GACGAACGCUGGCGGCGUGCUUAACACAUGCAAGUCGAACGGAAAGGCCCUGCUUUUGUGGGGUGCUCGAGUGGCGAACGGGUGAGUAACACGUGAGUAACUUGCCCUUGACUUUGGGAUAACUUCAGGAAACUGGGGCUAAUACCGGAUAGGUGCUCCUGCUGCAUGGUGGGGGUUGGAAAGUUUCGGCGGUUGGGGAUGGACGCGCGGCUUAUCAGCCUGUUGGCGGGGUAGUGGCUUACCAAGGCUUUGACGGGUAGCCGGCCUGAGAGGGUGACCGGCCACAUUGGGACUGAGAUACGGCCCAGACUCCUACGGGAGGCAGCAGUGGGGAAUAUUGCACAAUGGGCGGAAGCCGGAUGCAGCAACGCCGCGUGCGGGAUGACGGCCUUCGGGUUGUAAACCGCUUUCGCCUGUGACGAAGCGUGAGUGACGGUAAUGGGUAAAGAAGCACCGGCUAACUACGUG
rnacentral:rRNA from 1 species